ACCUCUUUCAAGCCCAAAAAAACCCCCUCAAUGCCCUCACAACCCCUGAAACCCCACUCUGAGCCCCCUAAAACCCCCCCACGGGGCACAGGUGACCCCCAGGAGCACCAGGGGACCCCCAAAGCUGGUGAGGGGCAGAGCCCAGAGUGGGAAAUCUGCUGGAGAAGCCGAUGGGGAAACCAAAAAUUCAGGAAAAGAAUUGGGAGGGGGGGCAGCAGCUGGGUUGGGGGGUUUGGGGGUCUGGAGAGUCCAGGUGGGCACGGCCUGGGGGCACAGGGCCCACAAGGUGAGCAGGUCCAGGUGAGCAGGUCCUACAAGGUGAGCAGGUCCAGGCACACAGGUCCCACAAGGUGAGAAGGUCCUGGGAGUGCUCAGGUUAGCAGGUCCCACAAGGUGAGCAGAUCCAGGUGAGCAGGUCCAGAGGCACAGAUCCCACAAGGUGUGAGCAGGUCACGGUGAGCAGGUCCCACAAGAUGAGCAGGUCCUGGGAGUGCUCAGGUGAGCAGGUCCAGGUGAGCAGGUCCCACAAGGUGAGCAGGUCCAGGUGAGCAGGUCCCACAAGGUGAG